CCUACGGGAGGCAGCAGUGAGGAAUAUUGGUCAAUGGCCGUAAGGCUGAACCAGCCAAGUCGCGUGAGGGAUGAAUGCCCUAUGGUUUGUAAACCUCUUUUAUGCGGGGAUAAAGUUGUCAACGUGUGGCUGUUUGUAGGUACCGCAUGAAUAAGGACCGGCUAAUUCCGUGCCAGCAGCCGCGGUAAUACGGAGGGUCCGGGCGUUAUCCGGGUUUAUUGGGUUUAAAGGGUGCGUAGGACGGUCGUUAAGUGAGCCGUGAAAUUUUGGGGCUCAACCAUUAGAUUGCGGGGGGAACUGGAGACCUUGAGUACACGUGAGGCAGGCGGAAUGCGUGGUGUAGCGGUGAAAUGCUUAGAUAUCACGAAGAACCCCGAUUGCGAAGGCAGCCUGCCGCAGCGUUACUGACGCUGAAGCACGAAAGCGCGGGUAUCGAACAUGAUUAGAUACCCCAGUAGUC
rnacentral:rRNA from 1 species